rnacentral:rRNA from 1 species
CGGCGGACGGGUGAGUAACACGUGGGUAACCUGCCUGUAAGACUGGGAUAACUCCGGGAAACCGGAGCUAAUACCGGAUAGUUCCUUGAACCGCAUGGUUCAAGGAUGAAAGACGGUUUCGGCUGUCACUUACAGAUGGACCCGCGGCGCAUUAGCUAGUUGGUGAGGUAACGGCUCACCAAGGCGACGAUGCGUAGCCGACCUGAGAGGGUGAUCGGCCACACUGGGACUGAGACACGGCCCAGACUCCUACGGGAGGCAGCAGUAGGGAAUCUUCCGCAAUGGACGAAAGUCUGACGGAGCAACGCCGCGUGAGUGAUGAAGGUUUUCGGAUCGUAAAGCUCUGUUGUUAGGGAAGAACAAGUGCAAGAGUAACUGCUUGCACCUUGACGGUACCUAACCAGAAAGCCACGGCUAACUACGUGCCAGCAGCCGCGGUAAUACGUAGGUGGCAAGCGUUGUCCGGAAUUAUUGGGCGUAAAGGGCUCGCAGGCGGG